rnacentral:rRNA from 1 species
UUCCUACGGGGGGCUGCAGUAAGGAAUAUUGGACAAUGGGCGGAAGCCUGAUCCAGCCAUGCCGCGUGAAGGAUGAAGGCGCUCAGCGUUGUAAACUUCUUUUGGAUGGGAACAAUAAUCCCGACUUGUCGGGACUUGAGGGUACCAUCAGAAUAAGCACCGGCUAACUCCGUGCCAGCAGCCGCGGUAAUACGGAGGGUGCAAGCGUUAUCCGGAAUCACUGGGUUUAAAGGGUGCGUAGGCGGCCCGUUGAGUCAGCUGUGAAAGCGCUGGGCUCAACCCAUGGAAUUGCAGUUGAUACUGGCGGGCUUGAAUGGGGUUGAGGCUGGCGGAAUGCGACAUGUAGCGGUGAAAUGCUUAGAUAUGUCGCAGAACACCGAUUGCGAAGGCAGCCAGCUGGGCCUUUAUUGACGCUGAGGCACGAAAGCGUGGGGAGCAAACAGGAUUAGAUACCCCAGUAGUCC